GUAAUUGGGGAAGUACCCGGAUGAAGACGCCGACUCCGGUGGCGGUGAGCGCGCGGUCGGAUCUGCUGAAUGCCGGUGAAAUGGGUGCUCAUCAGGACAGUGGAGAAGCAGAGGGUGCUCUAUUUCUGGCAGUUUUGUGAUUUAUGGCUAAAGAGAAGGUGUUGUUCACAGGUGUGAUGGUUCUACCUUUAAAAGGUGCAGAGUUCAUUCCUGAAUUUCCUGUUUCUUCCCUGGAAAUGAAUCCGUUUUUGUCGGCGAUGAGAACCACAGAUCAUUCAGCUCAUUCAGCUGAAAGGUAUUGUUCACAGGUGUGAUGCUCCUACCUUAAGAAGAUGCAGAACUUAUGCCAGAAUUUGCUGCGUUUCUUCCUAAAGCCCGUUCAACUCCUUCAGCUGUGAGAUGCCGCUGCUGAUCUGUUCGGGUCGGGUGUUUAUAAUCACACUGGUCUUCCUUGCUUAAUUUUUGGUGUUUUUGCUAACUCUACAGACAUCAGCAAGAGUCGCCACGUGAGAGCCAUGCAGAAUAACGUUAUAUUUA